rnacentral:lncRNA from 1 species
CCGGCCUGUGCACCAGGCUUACUGUCUUUGUUACCUCUUUAUUUCCACCCCUUAUUCCUAGCCCCUCCCUCCCCACUGCUGAUAUAACAGCAUGAAAUUAAACCUAUUCCAGUCUGUGACAUCUGAUCCCUUUGACAUGACAUAGUACAACCUGUAGAGCCAGAGGUGGGGGCCAGGAAGCCCUGUUCUAGUCUCUCUGCACAACCUUGAGCCAUCUCAUCAUCUGCACAUCUGCCUGAACCUCAGUCUCCCACUCUGGACGUUGUCGGGGUGAUGGAGCAAGCAUUCAGUUAUUCUCUGCUGGAUUCUGAUGUGGUCUAAAGUCCACACUUUGUUGUGAAACACCGCAAUCUGUGAUGUACAGAACCUAUUACUGCGGCCACCCAGGAAUGCUGGGGGCAGGCCUUUUGAGAAGGUGAAUCAGCGUGUGUUAGCUCAGGGCAGAGGGCCUGGCGGUGAGACGUGAGAACAGCCAAUGUCAUGGCGGUGGGGGAGUGGACGUGAGCCAUCUGGGGCCCAGCAAACAGCAUGUUGAAAAAAACGAGGAACUCAAAGGCAGAUGAGCCUACCACGCUGGGAACAGUUGGGAGUACAUUGCUCAAGGGCUUGGAAUGGAGGGGGUGGAGUUGAGGAGAUCACAGAGGACCUAGGAGUGUGUGUAUCGGAGAGAGAUAGGAAACCACUGACCGUUCAGCACACAUUCAGAAUUACUGCCUGUCCCAGGGAGGGACCCACAGCUCCGGCGCUCCGUUCAGCAUCUGGAAGAGCAUAGCUCGCUGUGAGCGGCCGCCCCAGAAGACUGUAUCCCACCCAGCCAGCUCUCCUGCCUGCUUGCCUCUGCCCCACACCAGGACACUUCAUACUGUCAGAACCACUGGGUGUGUGAGCUUGUGAGAGGGUGUGUGGGCACACAUGUCCCUGUGUGGGGUGUGGAGGUCAGAGGGCAACUUGGAGGAAUUGGUUCUCUCCUUCCACCACUGGGGCCCAGGAAUCAAGCCGAGGUUCCCAGACGUGGUAGCAGCCUCCCUUACCUGUUAAACCAGUGCUUCCCAGACUUCCUAAUGCUGUGACCUCAUGCUGUGCUGACCCCCGCCCAUGACAUUAUCU